GCGCUCCAUGCAGUCGAGCGGCAUCGAGAAACCAUUAGUAAAAUAAUGGUUUCGUCGGCAAGCGGCGAACGGGUGAGUAAUAUCUGGGGAUCUGCCUAAUAAUGGGGGAUAACUACUAGAAAUGGUAGCUAAUACCGCAUAAUGUCGUGAGACCAAAGCGGGGGACCUGUAAAGGCCUCGCGUUAUUAGAUGAACCCAGACGAGAUUAGCUAGUAGGUGAGGUAAUGGCUUACCUAGGCAACGAUCUCUAGCUGGUCUGAGAGGACGAUCAGCCACACUGGAACUGAGACACGGUCCAGACUCCUACGGGAGGCAGCAGUGGGGAAUAUUGCACAAUGGGGGAAACCCUGAUGCAGCCAUGCCGCGUGUGUGAAGAAGGCCUUUGGGUUGUAAAGCACUUUCAGCAAGGAAGAAGUUAAUAAUACUAAUUAAUGUUAUUAAUUGACGUUACUUGCAGAAGAAGCACCGGCUAACUCCGUGCCAGCAGCCGCGGUAAUACGGAGGGUGCAAGCGUUAAUCGGAAUUACUGGGCGUAAAGCGUAUGUAGGCGGUUUAUUAAGUCAGAUGUGAAAUCCCUAGGCUUAACCAAGGAACUGCAUUUGAAACUAGUAGGCUAGAGUGUCAUAGGGGGAGGGAGAAUUCCAGGUGUAGCGGUGAAAUGCGUAGAGAUCUGGAAGAAUAUCGGUGGCGAAGGCGCCCUCCUGGGUGAAAACUGACGCUGUAAUACGAAAGCAUGGGGAGCGAACAGGAUUAGAUACCCUGGUAGUCCAUGCUGUAAACGAUGUCGAUUUGAAGGUUGUAAUCUUGAAUUGUGGCUUUCGAAGCUAACGCGUUAAAUCGACCGCCUGGGGAGUACGACCGCAAGGUUAAAACUCAAAUGAAUUGACGGGGGCCCGCACAAGCGGUGGAGCAUGUGGUUUAAUUCGAUGCAACGCGAAAAACCUUACCUACUCUUGACAUCCAGAGAAUUUAGCAGAGAUGCUUUAGUGCCUUCGGGAACUCUGAGACAGGUGCUGCAUGGCUGUCGUCAGCUCGUGUUGUGAAAUGUUGGGUUAAGUCCCGCAACGAGCGCAACCCUUAUUCUUUGUUACCAUCGAUUCGGUCGGGGACUCAAAGAAGACUGCCGGUGAUAAACCGGAGGAAGGUGAGGAUAACGUCAAGUCAUCAUGGCCCUUACGAGUAGGGCUACACACGUGCUACAAUGGCAUAUACAAAGAGAAGCAAACUCGCAAGAACUAGCAAACCUCAUAAAGUAUGUCGUAGUCCGGAUUGGAGUCUGCAACUCGACUCCAUGAAGUCGGAAUCGCUAGUAAUCGUGGAUCAGCAUGCCACGGUGAAUACGUUCCCGGGCCUUGUACACACCGCCCGUCACACCAUGGAAGUGUGUUGCAAAAGAAGCAGGUAGUUUAACCUGUAUUGAGAACGCUACCCUC
rnacentral:rRNA from 1 species